GACGAAUGCUGGCGGCGUGCUUAACACAUGCAAGUCGAACGAGGUCCAUUCGGUAGCAAUACUGAUGAAGACCUAGUGGCGAACGGGUGCGUAACACGUGAGCAACCUGUCCCGAAGACCGGGAUAACACCGGGAAACCGGUGCUAAUACCGGAUAUCCCCAUCUGAUCGCAUGGUCGGAUGAGGAAAUGGAUUCCGCCUCGGGAGGGGCUCGCGGCCUAUCAGCUUGUUGGUGAGGUAACGGCUCACCAAGGCUCCGACGGGUAGCUGGUCUGAGA
rnacentral:rRNA from 1 species